rnacentral:rRNA from 1 species
AGUGAACGCUGGCGGUAGGCCUAACACAUGCAAGUCGAACGGCAGCACAGUAAGAGCUUGCUCUUACGGGUGGCGAGUGGCGGACGGGUGAGGAAUACAUCGGAAUCUACUUUUUCGGGGGGGAUAACGUAGGGAAACUUACGCUAAUACCGCAUACGACCUACGGGUGAAAGCAGGGGAUCUUCGGACCUUGCGCGAUUGAAUGAGCCGAUGUCGGAUUAGCUAGUUGGCGGGGUAAAGGCCCACCAAGGCGACGAUCCGUAGCUGGUCUGAGAGGAUGAUCAGCCACACUGGAACUGAGACACGGUCCAGACUCCUACGGGAGGCAGCAGUGGGGAAUAUUGGACAAUGGGCGAAAGCCUGAUCCAGCCAUACCGCGUGGGUGAAGAAGGCCUUCGGGUUGUAAAGCCCUUUUGUUGGGAAAGAGAAACAGCAGGUUAAUACCCCGCUGUUCUGACGGUACCCAAAGAAUAAGCACCGGCUAACUUCGUG